AGUCGGAAUCGCUAGUAAUCGCGGAUCAGCAUGCCGCGGUGAAUACGUUCCCGGGCCUUGUACACACCGCCCGUCACACCAUGAGAGUUUGUAACACCCAAAGCCGGUGGGGUAACCUUUUGGAGCCAGCCGUCUAAGGUGGGACAGAUGAUUGGGGUGAAGUCGUAACAAGGUAGC
rnacentral:rRNA from 1 species